GGGGCUGUAGCUCAGUUGGUAGAGCGCUUGAAUGGCAUUCAAGAGGUCAGGGGUUCGAAUCCCCUCAGCUCCA
rnacentral:tRNA from 1 species